CUACGUGCCAGCAGCCGCGGUAAUACGUAGGUGGCAAGCGUUGUCCGGAAUUAUUGGGCGUAAAGCGCGCGCAGGCGGAUUAGUUAGUCUGUCUUAAAAGUUCGGGGCUUAACCCCGUGAUGGGAUGGAAACUGCUGAUCUAGAGUAUCGGAGAGGAAAGUGGAAUUCCUAGUGUAGCGGUGAAAUGCGUAGAUAUUAGGAAGAACACCAGUGGCGAAGGCGACUUUCUGGACGAAAACUGACGCUGAGGCGCGAAAGCCAGGGGAGCGAACGGGAUUAGAUACCCCGGUAGUCCUGGCCGUAAACGAUGGGUACUAGGUGUAGGAGGUAUCGACCCCUUCUGUGCCGGAGUUAACGCAAUAAGUACCCCGCCUGGGGAGUACGACCGCAAGGUUGAAACUCAAAGGAAUUGACGGGGGCCCGCACAAGCGGUGGAGUAUGUGGUUUAAUUCGACGCAACGCGAAGAACCUUACCAGGUCUUGACAU
rnacentral:rRNA from 1 species